rnacentral:rRNA from 1 species
GCGGCAGGCUUAAUACAUGCAAGUCGAACGGUAACAGGUCUUUCGGGACGCUGACGAGUGGCGAACGGGUGAGUAACGCGUACGCAAUCUACCCCGCACAGGAGGAUAGCCCCGGGAAACUGGGAUUAGUACUCCAUAGAAUUCAAGAUGGGCAUCUUAUUUGAAUUAAAACUCCGGUGGUGCGGGAUGAGCGUGCGUUCUAUUAGUUAGUUGGUGAGGUAACGGCUCACCAAGACCGCGAUAGAUAGCUGGCGUGAGAGCGCGACCAGCCACACUGGAACUGAGACACGGUCCAGACUCCUACGGGAGGCAGCAGUAGGGAAUAUUGGUCAAUGGAGGAAACUCUGAACCAGCCGUGCCGCGUGCAGGAUGACGGCCCUAUGGGUUGUAAACUGCUUUUAUCAGGGAAGAAACCUUGGGAUUUAUCCCAAGCUGACGGUACCUGAAGAAUAAGCACCGGCUAACUCCGUGCCAGCAGCCGCGGUAAUACGGAGGGUGCAAGCGUUAUCCGGAUUCACUGGGUUUAAAGGGUGCGCAGGCGGAUUAAUAAGUCAGUGGUGAAAGCUUCGAGCUCAACUCGGAAACUGCCAUUGAUACUGUUAAUCUUGAGUAUAGUUGAGGUGGGCGGAAUAAAUCAUGUAGCGGUGAAAUGCUUAGAUAUGAUUUAGGACACCAAUUGCGUAGGCAGCUCACUAAACUAUCACUGACGCUCAGGCACGAAAGCGUGGGUAGCAAACAGGAUUAGAUACCCUGGUAGUCCACGCCCUAAACUAUGUUCACUCGACAUUUGCAAUAUACCGUAAGUGUCCAAGCGAUAGCGUUAAGUGAACCACCUGGGGAGUACGUUCGCAAGAAUGAAACUCAAAGGAAUUGACGGGGGUCCGCACAAGCGGAGGAGCAUGUGGUUUAAUUCGACGAUACGCGAGGAACCUUACCUAGGCUAGAAUGCAUGGAGACCGUUCCUGAAAGGGAGCUUCCCUUCGGGGCUGCAUGCAAGGUGCUGCAUGGUUGUCGUCAGCUCGUGCCGUGAGGUGUUGGGUUAAGUCCCGCAACGAGCGCAACCCUCAUCCUUAGUUGCCAUCAGAUAAUGCUGGGGACUCUAAGGAAACUGCCAGCGCAAGCUGUGAGGAAGGUGGGGAUGACGUCAAAUCAUCAUGGCCUUUAUGCCUAGGGCUACACACGUGCUACAAUGACAAGGACAAUGGGUUGCUACCUGGUGACAGGAUGCUAAUCUCAAAAACCUUGUCUCAGUUCGGAUUGAAGUCUGCAACUCGACUUCAUGAAGCUGGAUUCGCUAGUAAUCGCGCAUCAGCAAUGGCGCGGUGAAUACGUUCCCGGACCUUGUACACACCGCCCGUCAAGCCAUGGAAGUUGGGUGUGCCUGAAGACGAUAACCGUAAGGAGUCGUCCAAGGUAAAACCAGUAACUGGGGCUAAGUCGUAACAAGGUA